GACGAACGCUGGCGGCGUGCCUAAUACAUGCAAGUCGAGCGGACGGAUGGGAGCUUGCUCCCAGACCGUCAGCGGCGGACGGGUGAGUAACCCGUGGGCAACCUGCCUGUAAGACUGGGAUAACUCCGGGAAACCGGGGCUAAUACCGGAUAACUCUUUCCCUCACAUGAGGGAACGCUGAAAGAUGGCAUCUCGCUAUCACUUACAGAUGGGCCCGCGGCGCAUUAGCUAGUUGGUGAGGUAACGGCUCACCAAGGCGACGAUGCGUAGCCGACCUGAGAGGGUGAUCGGCCACACUGGGACUGAGACACGGCCAAGACUCCUACGGGAGGCAGCAGUAGGGAAUCUUCCGCAAUGGACGAAAGUCUGACGGAGCAACGCCGCGUGAGUGAUGAAGGUUUUCGGAUCGUAAAACUCUGUUGUCAGGGAAGAACAAGUACCGGAGUAACUGCCGGUACCUUGACGGUACCUGACCAGAAAGCCACGGCUAACUACGUG
rnacentral:rRNA from 1 species